AAUCAGAAUAUACUACAGUUGUACCUUCCAAAUCAAGAGUCAAGUUCUCCUAUGCAUGAACUCAGGUAGAAACCAGCUAACCAGAAAGAGGCCAACAUGUCAACAAGUAUCAGUAGAAAAAAGAUGUAACAAGACAGUUCUGCUCCCAGCACUUCUUUUAGAUGAUCCCAAACAAGUUCCUUCUCUCUCUUGAAUGGCUUCUUUUCAAUGGAAAAUGGAGGGAAAAGUCAUCCAGGUGAACUAGAAGCAUGCAUUUCAAAUAGACCAGAUGAACUGGGUCCUGGCCCAUGGAUAACAUGAGACACAGCAUUCAAGGGCAGGUUGUCUGGUGAGUAGGUUUGAUGCUUGGGUGACACCACCACACACCUAUACAUAAUUCCCAAACUGCUGCCCUGUGUAGAGUAGUAUAACUGGGCUGUAAAUUGUACCCAGGGCAUUAGUGUUUCAGUUCCCCAGUGACCAGGGUAGAUUGGGUGUCCCAGCAGCUGAGAAAAACAGACCAGUUGGUGAGAGCAGCAACUGUGCUGAGGUCUGGGAAGUUAAAAAUGGGUGUUUUUUUCCUUCAGCAGUGCUCAUCUAUUUAUUGGCUUGAUUGUAAUCACAGCUGCCUUAACUUGUAACUAAUACUGUCCUCCCUGCAGCAUAGAUGAUGAUCACUUGGGUAUCAGAUACUGCUGUCUAUGUUUGCUUUUGUUAUCACUCACCAUCAGCAGGUCUCUUUGAAAGACCAGCUCUGACCAGACACCAAGGAGAAAAGAGGGAUUCCAGUUAUCCUCUUCCCUGUUGCUGACCAGUUCUUUCCCAUCACACAAACCCCA